GGAACGUGCUUUCAUUCAAAGGAGCAUGCUUCCAAGUUCAUCAGGUAGAUGAAGCCAGCUGAUAUGGAAGUGAGAGUUUUUUGACCAGCAUCAGCAGCUCAACAGCAGAUCAUAGCAGCAUUACAAAGUUCAAAGCCAAAAUCAUCCUGUUGUUGUCUCCUCCCUCGAGCCUCAUCGUUUGCCUGGCUUCAAGGUGCAUGUUUGGAAUAAUGCACCAAUAUUAGUAAAAAAAACUAGCUAAGUGGUAGCUAGUGCCGCAAUGGACUUGGAAUAUACCUCUCUCGCUUGGACCAAAGUUGGCGGAGGCAAAGCUGCUAGAGGAAGGUCAACGUUGGAAAGCUGAUAAUAAUGCUUUGAUUCUACGAGACAAGUCUUUCGAUCUCAGAUACGAGCUCCUGAUUUCUACUUUCUAUGUCCUGCAGUUUACUGGUAGACAGAAAAGACAAGCGUCAUAUCACAAUAGCAUCUAAGGCAGACUGCAGCUCUAGACGGGCCGACAUGUCCAACUUGGCAAAGCGACGCAUUUUCCAAGGCAUGUCCUGCAGACAAGAGAAUAUUUUACCGUUGGUCUCGCUCCAAGACUGGUGUUUCUCAGACCCUCCAGUUCUUCUGUCAUCUUCGUGGCCAACGCCUGCAGGACUUCAGGCUUGUCCAACAGAGGAGGGCUGAGCAGCUGGCAAGGUGUCAGCUGCAAAGGGAAGUGAUCUGAGCAGGAGGGAGGGUCAAGCAGCUCAUGAUCCUUAGAGGAAACCACACAUCCACUGCCUGGCAUUGAGCAAUUGGAAAAGUGAAUUCCCGCUCAGCUUCGGCUGGUGGUAUUGGGACAUUAACCACAACCAGCUCCUUCAUCUCAUCCUCAAGCCGCCGAUUGGAGUCACUCACCUUCUCAAACAUGCUAGUCAGCUGGGGAAAUCAAGAAGGGGGACAGAUGUAAUGAGCAGAUCAUUUCAAAGUAUUUUUCCUAAAGCAAGUAAACUGACAGACACAAAAACAUUAAAAGAAAUGUAUGUAUAAAUUGAACUUCAAACAAUGAAGAAAUCUUCUAUUGGCCAAGAUACAAAGGUGCUAUGCUUUGAAACGAUUGUUUAAAUGGGGAUUUUUUUUUUAAUGGUACAUAUACUGUAUUUAGUUUGACAGCCUUGUAAAUGUCAUUGACAACUUUCUGACUGUUAUCAGCAUUCCAAGUUUGGAGAAUUAUCCCGACUGCUUUUAUGUGUGUUGUGUAAGUGGCUGUAACCAUAGAGACAUAACAAAUUGCAAACUGUUCUAUUGUUUUAUCAAAUACUUUGCUUCCAAAGUACAUUUUAUUUCUGACAGGCCUGUGAGGUAAUGUUCACACUAAUACAGUAUAAUCAAAUACAGUUCAGAAAAGGCUUGGCAAUCCCUGCAGAGGCAGCAUCUGUGAGGACAGCAAAGGUAACAAAAGCUACAGUUCCUUGCAAAAGUAUUCGGCCCCCUUGAAUCUUGCAACCUUUCGCCACAUUUUAGGCUUCAAACAUAAAGAUAUGAAAUUUAAUUUUUUUGUCAAGAAUCAACAAGUGGGACACAAUCGUGAAGUGGAACAACAUUUAUUGGAUAAUUUAAAC